CGCCUGUUUAUCAAAAACAUGGCUCUCUGUAUAUUGAAGAUAGAGAGUCGGACCUGCCCGGUGAAUUUUUUAACGGCCGCGGUACUCUGACCGUGCAAAGGUAGCAUAAUACCAUUUGCCUUAUAAUUGAAGGCUAGAAUGAAUGGUUUGACAAGAAUACAACUGUCUCUUUACAAUUACAUAAAAUUUUAUCUGCAGUUGAAGAAGCCUGCAUUUGAAUAAAAGACAAGAAGACCCUAUCGAGCUUAAAAAAAACUGGUGGAAUAACAAACUUAAUCCUAACUUAUAAAUAAAUAAAUAGUCAACUACUGGAAAUUUUGGUUGGGGCGACCGGGGAACAAAAAAAACUUCCUUUAUAAAAAUUUAGAUGCCCAAAUAUUGAUCCAGCAUUAUAUGAUUAAAGAAAUUAGUUACCGUAGGGAUAACAGCAUUAUCUUUUUUAAGAGUUCUUAUCGAAAAAAAGGUUUGUGACCUCGAUGUUGGACCAGAAUAUCCUAAAGAUGCAGCCGUCUUUAAGGGUUGGUCUGUUCGACCAUUAAAAUUCUACGUGAUCUGAUUCACACCGGA
rnacentral:rRNA from 1 species